rnacentral:rRNA from 1 species
AUUGAACGCUGGCGGAAUGCUUUACACAUGCAAGUCGAACGGCAGCACGGGGCAACCUGGUGGCGAGUGGCGAACGGGUGAGUAAUACAUCGGAACGUGCCCAAUCGUGGGGGAUAACGUAGCGAAGUUACGCUAAUACCGCAUACGAUCUACGGAUGAAAGCGGGGAUCGCAAGACCUCGCGCGAAUGGAGCGGCCGAUGUCAGAUUAGGUAGUUGGUGGGGUAAAGGCUCACCAAGCCGACGAUCUGUAGCUGGUCUGAGAGGACGACCAGCCACACUGGGACUGAGACACGGCCCAGACUCCUACGGGAGGCAGCAGUGGGGAAUUUUGGACAAUGGGCGCAAGCCUGAUCCAGCCAUUCCGCGUGCAGGAUGAAGGCCUUC